rnacentral:rRNA from 1 species
GCGGGAACACCGGCGGCCCGAGUGGUGAUCGUGAUUAUUGGGUCUAAAGGGUCCGUAGCCGGUUUGGUCAGUCCUCCGGGAAAUCUGAUAGCUCAACUAUUAGGCUUUCGGGGGAUACUGCCAGACUUGGAACCGGGAGAGGUAAGAGGUACUACAGGGGUAGGAGUGAAAUCUUGUAAUCCCUGUGGGACCACCUGUGGCGAAGGCGUCUUACCAGAACGGGUUCGACGGUGAGGGACGAAAGCUGGGGGCACGAACCGGAUUAGAUACCCGGGUAGUCCCAGCCGUAAACGAUGCUCGCUAGGUGUCAGGCAUGGCGCGACCGUGUCUGGUGCCGCAGGGAAGCCGUGAAGCGAGCCACCUGGGAAGUACGGCCGCAAGGCUGAAACUUAAAGGAAUUGGCGGGGGAGCACAACAACGGGUGGAGCCCUGCGGUUUAAUUGGACUCAACGCCGGACAACUCACCGGGGGCGACAGCAAUAUGUAGGCCAAGCUGAAGACUUUGCCUGAAUCGCUGAGAAGAGGUGCAUGG